CCUACGGGGGACAGCAGUGAGGAAUAUUGGUCAAUGGGCGGAAGCCUGAACCAGCCAAGUAGCGUGCGGGAUGAAGGCCCUACGGGUCGUAAACCGCUUUUGCACGGGGAUAACACCCUCCACUUGUGGAGGUCUGCAGGUACCGUGCGAAUAAGGGCUGGCUAAUUCCGUGCCAGCAGCCGCGGUAAUACGGAAGGCGCGAGCGUUAUCCGGAUUCAUUGGGCUUAAAGGGAGCGUAGGCGGGCGUUCAAGUCAGCGGUAAAAUGGCGGGGCUCAACCGCGCCCCGCAGUUGAAACUGGGCGCCUUGAGUUCACAACAGGCAGGCGGAAUGCGUGGUGUAGCGGUGAAAUGCAUAGAUAUCACGAGGAACCCCGAUUGCGAGGGCAGCCUGCCGGGGUGCGACUGACGCUGAGGCUCGAAGGUGCGGGUAUCGAACAGGAUUAGAUACCCGAGUAGUC
rnacentral:rRNA from 1 species